GUUUCUUAUGGCCGGGCAACAUCCUGAUGUGUACCUUCCCGUACCACUUCUUCCCGACCCGCCUGUCCACCGGCGGGCAGCGAGGAUGAUGGUGUUGAUUUGUAUCUUCUUCAGAAUCUUUCUUCGGUGUCUUAUAAUUUUACCGACACAGGUUUUUCACCUCCCUGGUUAAAUACAUUCCUAGUUUGGAUGCCUUUUAUUUCCACCCUGUUCUGAUCGCCGUGGCUGGGACUUUCAGUUCUG